rnacentral:rRNA from 1 species
GUUUUUUUGUGGAGGGUUUGAUUCUGGCUCAGGACGAACGCUGGCGGCGUGCUUAACACAUGCAAGUCGAACGGGAUCCAUCAGGCUUUGCCUGGUGGUGAGAGUGGCGAACGGGUGAGUAAUGCGUGACCGACCUGCCCCGUACUUCGGAAUAGCUCCUGGAAACGGGUGGUAAUGCCGGAUGCUCCAACAUGCUGCAUGGUGUGUUGGGAAAGGGUUUUGUACCGGUAUGGGAUGGGGUCGCGUCCUAUCAGCUUGUUGGUGAGGUGACGGCUCACCAAGGCUUCGACGGGUAGCCGGCCUGAGAGGGCGACCGGCCACAUUGGGACUGAGAUACGGCCCAGACUCCUACGGGAGGCAGCAGUGGGGAAUAUUGCACAAUGGGCGCAAGCCUGAUGCAGCGACGCCGCGUGCGGGAUGACGGCCUUCGGGUUGUAAACCGCUUUUGAUUGGGAGCAAGCGGAAGUGAGUGUACCUUUCGAAUAAGCGCCGGCUAACUACGUGCCAGCAGCCGCGGUAAUACGUAGGGCGCAAGCGUUGUCCGGAAUUAUUGGGCGUAAAGGGCUCGUAGGCGGCCCGUCGCGUCCGGUGUGAAAGCCCGUCGCUUAACGUCGGGUCUGCGCCGGGUACGGGCGGGCUGGAGUGCGGUAGGGGAGACUGGAAUUCCCGGUGUAACGGUGGAAUGUGUAGAUAUCGGGAAGAACACCAAUGGCGAAGGCAGGUCUCUGGGCCGUUACUGACGCUGAGGAGCGAAAGCGUGGGGAGCGAACAGGAUUAGAUACCCUGGUAGUCCACGCCGUAAACGGUGGACGCUGGAUGUGGGGCCCUUUCCACGGGUUCCGUGUCGGAGCUAACGCGUUAAGCGUCCCGCCUGGGGAGUACGGCCGCAAGGCUAAAACUCAAAGAAAUUGACGGGGGCCCGCACAAGCGGCGGAGCAUGCGGAUUAAUUCGAUGCAACGCGAAGAACCUUACCUGGGCUUGACAUGUUCCCGACGACCGCAGAGAUGUGGUUUCCCUUCGGGGCGGGUUCACAGGUGGUGCAUGGUCGUCGUCAGCUCGUGUCGUGAGAUGUUGGGUUAAGUCCCGCAACGAGCGCAACCCUUGCCCUGUGUUGCCAGCGCGUCAUGGCGGGGACUCACGGGGGACCGCCGGGGUUAACUCGGAGGAAGGUGGGGAUGACGUCAGAUCAUCAUGCCCCUUACGUCCAGGGCUUCACGCAUGCUACAAUGGCCGGUACAGCGGGAUGCGAUGGCGCGAGCCGGAGCGGAUCCCUGAAAACCGGUCUCAGUUCGGAUCGGAGCCUGCAACUCGGCUCCGUGAAGGUGGAGUCGCUAGUAAUCGCGGAUCAGCAACGCCGCGGUGAAUGCGUUCCCGGGCCUUGUACACACCGCCCGUCAAGUCAUGAAAGUGGGCAGCACCCGAAGCCGGUGGCCUAACCCGCAAGGGAUGGAGCCGUCUAAGGUGAGGCUCGUGAUUGGGACUAAGUCGUAACAAGGUAGCCGUACCGGAAGGUGCGGCUGGAUCACCUCCUUUCUACGGAG